rnacentral:rRNA from 1 species
UACGUAGGCAGCGAGCGUUUGUUCGGAGUUACUGGGCGUAAAGGGUGUGUAGGCGGUUCUUUUAAGUUUGGUGUGAAAUCUCCCGGCUCAACUGGGAGGGUGCGCCGAAUACUGAGGGACUAGAGUGCGGGAGAGGAAAGUGGAAUUCCUGGUGUAGCGGUGAAAUGCGCAGAUAUCAGGAGGAACACCGAUGGCGAAGGCAGCUCACUGGGACGGUACUGACGCUGAGGCGCGAAAGCGUGGGGGAGCAAACAGG